UACGUAGGUGGCAAGCGUUGUCCGGAAUUAUUGGGCGUAAAGCGCGCGCAGGCGGUCCUUUAAGUCUGAUGUGAAAGCCCACGGCUCAACCGUGGAGGGUCAUUGGAAACUGGGGGACUUGAGUGCAGGAGAGAAGAGUGGAAUUCCCAGUGUAGAGGUGAAAUUCGUAGAUAUUGGGAAGAACACCGGUGGCGAAGGCGGCUCACUGGCUCGUAUCUGACGCUCAGGCGCGACAGCGUGGGGAUCAAACAGG
rnacentral:rRNA from 1 species